rnacentral:rRNA from 1 species
UACGGAGGGUGCGAGCGUUGUCCGGAAUCACUGGGCGUAAAGGGCGCGUAGGCGGGAUGGCAAGUCGGUCGUGAAAUCCCUCGGCUCAACCGAGGAACGUCGAUCGAUACUGCUGUUCUUGAGGAUUGCAGAGGAGACUGGAAUUCCCGGUGUAGCGGUGAAAUGUGUAGAGAUCGGGAGGAACACCGGUGGCGAAGGCGGGUCUCUGGGCAAUUCCUGACGCUGAGGCGCGAAAGCUAGGGGAGCGAACGGG